GCAUGUACAUCAUCAUUUGGUUCAGUAGAGUCUGCUGGACUGUCACAGGUUGUGCUCUGAUGAGAACCUAGCAUCCAGGAUUACACCUACCAUACGAUGAGACAUCAGAGAUCAUAAAGCAAGCUGGAAAGAUGAGAAAGAUGAAUCCCAGGAAGCAGCUCCCCAGGACUGAGCAUCAGAGGUGGAUCUUGAAAUCAACCUAGGCAGUGAUUUUUCCAUUGUGCUGUGCUCCUGACUCUUAAAACACAGAAUGACUCUUCAUUUUAUAGACUUUUCUGCCCAACAGCAAGGCAACCAGUUGAAAAAGAAAGACAACUGAACUGGGAUUCUAAGGACUUGCUUUCAGUGACUACUACUAAAACUAAAAGAAUUGGAUGAUCAAGUCAAUGCUGAAAGUAAUAAACCCCUUAAUCUAGCAGUCUCACUACUGAUUUGUAUCCCAAAGAGAUAAUAAAAAGAGAA